UACAGAGGGGGCAAGCGUUAUUCGGAAUUAUUGGGCGUAAAGGGCGCGUAGGCGGCCUGGCAAGUGGAAGGUGAAAUCCCUCGGCUUAACCGAGGAACUGCCCUCCAAACUGCUUGGCUUGAGUCCGGGAGAGGUGAGUGGAAUUCCCAGUGUAGCGGUGAAAUGCGUAGAUAUCGAGAGGAACACCUGCGGCGAAGGCGGGUUGCUGGGCUGACACUGACGCUGAUGCGCGAAAGCUAGGGGAGCGAACGGG
rnacentral:rRNA from 1 species